CGCCAGAAGAUGAGCCUGCGGCCCAUUAGCUUGUUGGUGGGGUAACGGCCUACCAAGGCGACGAUGGGUAGCUGGUCUGAGAGGACGAUCAGCCACACUGGGACUGAGACACGGCCCAGACUCCUACGGGAGGCAGCAGUGGGGAAUCUUGCGCAAUGCGCGAAAGCGUGACGCAGCAACGCCGCGUGGGGGAAGAAGGCCUUCGGGUUGUAAACCCCUUUCAGUUGGGACGAAGCUUCGUGGGUUAAUAGCCCUCUGGAGUGACGGUACCUUCACAAGAAGCCCCGGCUAACUACGUGCCAGCAGCCGCGGUAAUACGUAGGGGGCUAGCGUUGUCCGGAAUCAUUGGGCGUAAAUCGCGUGUAGGCGGUCCGGUAAGUCCGCUGUGAAAGUCGGGGGCUCAACCCUCGGAUGCCGGUGGAUACUGUCGGGCUUGAGUACGGAAGAGGCGAGUGGAAUUCCUGGUGUAGCGGUGAAAUGCGCAGAUAUCAGGAGGAACACCAAUUGCGAAGGCAGCUCGCUGGGACGUUACUGACGCUGAGACGCGAAAGCGUGGGGAGCAACAGGAUUAGAUACCCUGGUAGUCCACGCUGUAAACGAUGGGCACUAGGUGUGGGGGGUGUCGACUCCCUCCGUGCCGAACUA
rnacentral:rRNA from 1 species